GUAUAGAAUUUUUGUGAGACAUAAAUUUGUGCUUUCGGAUAUUAAAAUUGAUUUGAACUUGCCAAAAUUGAAAAUUAUAGGAUCGGAUUCGGAAUUUUCAAUCCAACUUACACUCCUAAACCAGUUGAGCUAUUCUAAACCAAGAUAUUAAGCUGGGUUAAUUAAUGAAAAAGUUGGGUAUAAAUAGAGGCCACCGAUGUAUUUUCAGAGAUUCAAUGACCGAAAUUAAAGAAAGAGAGUGGCAGUUGAAGUGGACUGUGUAAGAAAGAAGCUCAAUUUCUCAAACAAUGCGAAGACCGGGGCUUUAUAAUCGGCAGCAUGCGAAGCAAGCAGGAGCGGUGAAGGGCAUGAUUGGGAGGCUAUUGAUCGCUGUUGUGGUUGUCAUAUG